GACGAACGCUGGCGGCGUGCUUAACACAUGCAAGUCGAACGAUGAACCCGGAGCUUGCUCCGGUGGAUUAGUGGCGAACGGGUGAGUAACACGUGAGUAACCUGCCCUUGACUCUGGGAUAACUGCGGGAAACUGUAGCUAAUACCGGAUACGACCCUCGGCGGCAUCGCCAGGGGGUGGAAAGAAUUUCGGUCAAGGAUGGACUCGCGGCCUAUCAGCUAGUUGGUGAGGUAACGGCUGCCCAAGGCGACGAGGGGGAGCCGGCCGGCGAGGGGGACGGACAACACUGGGACUGGGACACGGCCCAGACUCCUACGGGAGGCGGCAGUGGGGAAUAUUGGACAAUGGGCGCAAGCCUGAUGCGGCAACGCCGCGGGAGGGAUGACGGCCUUCGGGUUGUAAACCUCUUUUAGUAGGGAAGAAGCGAAAGUGACGGUACCUGCAGAAAAAGCACCGGCUAACUACGUGCCAGCCGCCGCCGUAA
rnacentral:rRNA from 1 species